UUGCUGUGGCUCUGGCGUAGGCCAGCAGCUACAGCUCCAAUUAGACCCUUAGCCUGGGAACCUCCGUAUGCCUCAGGGGCAGCCCUAGAAAAGACCAAAAAAAAUGAUAAAUAAAAAUAAAAUAUCCUUAUGGUUUAAGUAUUUUGAGUUGGUGCUUCCUUAGUUAUUCGCAGCCAAUAAAUAGUAAACUAAUUAUUCAACUCAUUCAACACAUAGUAAAUAGUGUUAUUAGCAAUAAUAUUCUACCACACGGGCUGAGAUUUUUGAGAUUUCUACUCAGGAAAUCAGUCAUUCAUGUUACCAGCAACUAGAACAGGCAUUUUUUUCACCAGAUGUUAACUGAGCUUCUACAGUGCACUGGCACAACAGACACAAAUUUGAAAAAGAUAUUGCCCUUGCAAAAAUAGAUAAAUUUGACCAUCUUUUUAAAAAGCUUAUUAAAAAGCAUAACUGGAGGCAAAAGUCAAAACUGAAACUCAAAUCACAGACAAGAGUUUAUCCCCCCCCAAUAUAUAAAGAGCUCUUAGAAAUGAAAAACAGGACAUUUUAUAUUUUUUUAAAAAAAUACAACUGGUUCUUAAAGCUAUCAAAAAACACUCAGUCUCACUCAUAAUAAGAGAAAUGCAAAUACAUUGAGAUAUCACUUUUCACAUCAGACUGACAAAAAAUUUGAAAGUUUUAUGACUCACAGUACUGGUGGAGCUGUGGGCCCCCUCGUGCUUUGCUGGUGGAAGUUGAAAUUGGUGCAACUCCUGAGAAGGGGAAGUUGGCAACAUUAAUCUGAUUUGUAAGUUUGACCCAGCAAUUCCACUUCUGAGAAUUUAUCAACAGAUAUAUUUAUGUAGGUAUGAAAAUUCUGUACAGAGUUAUUUUCUACAACCCUGUUUAUAAUAGCAAAGAAUGAAAACAACCCAAAUACCCAUCAGUAGUAGACUGUUUAUAUGAUGAUAAGCCACAUGAUGGAAUACUAUGCAGCCAUAAAAAAGAAUAAGACUAGUCCCUAUGGAUCGAUUUGGAAAGAUCUAAACAUACUAAGUGAAAAAGAACAGCUACAGAAGAGAAUGUGGCACAUGACACCUGUUGUGUAAAAAUGGAGGGAAAAAAUGAGAAAUAUUUAUGAAAAGAAACCUUGGAAGGAUAUAUGGGAUAAGAAAACAAUGACCCACAGGAGGCCUCAGACACAUAGAUGACAAGUGGGAGAGUACCUUCUUCAUAAUUGAAAUUUGCCAGUGGAUAACUAAGAACACCUUAUAUGUCAUAUGUCAGUUCUGGAGACUUCUCUGCCAAUAGCCCAUUGCUCUUGAGGACUUGUUUUUAGCAGUUUCCCCCAAAUGGCAAUAGUCACCCUUCCCCUGGGCCUCAUGGUGCUGGCACAAAGGCUAAGGAAGAUUUUUUUGUUUGUUUUUUCUUUUUAGGGCUGUGCCUGCAGCAUAUGGAAGUUCCCAGGCUAGGAAUCAAAUCAGAGCUGCAGCUGCUGGCCUACGCCACAGCACAGCCACACCAGAUCUGAGCCACAUCUGCAAUGCUUGGGCAAUGCUGGAUCCUUAACCCCUGAGCGAGGCCAGGGAUCAAACCCACAUCCUCACAAACAUGGUGUCAGGUUUUUAACCCGCUGAGCCACAGCAGGAACUCCAAGGCAGAUUGCUCUGAAAAUCAGGCAACCUCAUUCUUGCUCCACCCCAGGAAGCACUGGCCCUCCUGGGCCACCAUGGUCAAAAGCAGGGUCUCAUGGUCCGAGUCAGGGACCCUAUCAACUUUGGAGGCAGCUGUGCUACACCCACUCAUCUGCUAUUCCAGGUGAAGCAAAGGUCUCACUUACCAGGCACUUUUCCCGGCUUCUGGAAGCAGAGGUGGAAAGAGAGGUGCAUCCCAUUGUCUGCUUGUGAACCAAGCAGGCAAACUCACAACCAGAAGCAGGGUCCACCCACACGCCCUGGUUCCUCUCCACACCCGGGUCACAGGCUUGCUUUCCUGCCUGAGCCACAACCCCAGUCCCCUCCCAAGAGCCUCCCAAGGUCAGGGAGAAGAAGGAGCCGUGGGACCCUCAACCAGGAAGGGAGGUGGGCCUGGAGGCCCUGAAUCAGCCAGGUUCCAAGGGGGUCCCAAGAACCUCCUUUGGACCAAGGAUCUGUCCGUUCAGGGCCCAAAGCCAGCCCCUGCGCUUGUGAGGACUGAACCCUGAGGGCCUUUGUGUUGGGUAAAGUUUUUGUUUUUUGUUUUUCAGGGCUACCCCACAGCAUAUGGGAGUUCCGGGCUAGGGGUCGAAUCAGAGCCACAGCUGCUGGAUCCAAGACGUGUCUGAGAACUACAGCACGGCUCACGUCAAUGCCGGACCCUUAACCCACUGAGCGAGGCCAGGGAUCGAAUCCACGUCCUCUUGAAUGCUAGUCGGGUUCAUUAACCACUGAGCAACGAAGGGAACUCCUGUUGGGUGAGAUUUUGACUUUCAGAAUACGCAACGUGGCAUCCUUCUGUCAAUGGUGGGGACGGCUGCCAUCCCCAGACACUAUGACUCCAGAAGGUAAGAUCACAUGUACUGUCAUCAGAACUGCGUGGGGACACCGUGCGCAGGCUGGUGACCUCUGAGGAGGGACAUCUGAGCUCAGACCUGGAUGAUGAGAAAAAUCGAGGAAACCAUUCCAGGGAGAGCCUCCGGGCAAGCCAAGCUCUCGAGCUGGAGGGAAAGAAAGGCCAGCAUGGCUAGAGGACAAAGGCCAAGGCCAGGGCAGGUCUGGUUGGACCCUUUUGGCCUUGGCUUUGGGAUUUAGUGGAGUUUGGAUUUUAUUCUAAAUCCAGUGCAAAGACAGCAGAGGGUUUUCAGCAGGAGGGGCACGAUCUGGUUUAUAUUUUUAAAACUCCCCCCGGGCUGCUAGGGGGAGAAUGGUUUAGAGGGUGGAGAGUGGAGGCAGGGCUUCUGGACAAAAACAGCUGGUCGUGGGAUUUCUCAUGAACUUGAAGACAUUUCCUAUUUAUAACCUCCACGCGCUUUCCUGCCCAAAGCUCAAGCCACAUCAUGAUGUAUUUUACACAAUGACACCUGGGUAAACGCCACCCAGAUCAGGCUGGACCCUCCGAGUCCUUCCCAGCCUCUUCCCACCUUCCACACGCUCAUUUCUGUCACCCAGAGUUUGGCCUGAGCUACAAGUUCCUAAACACAGAUCCAUGCGGCGUACAGCCCGACUUCUUUCAUCCAGUGCUUUUAAGAUGCUUCUAGGAGGUUGCCUGGAUCUGAGGUUCAUUCUGGGUAAAGGAGAACUGGAGUCGAGAGCCCUAGUCCAUCCCCAGUGAAGAUGCCAGCUCUGCGCUGGCGAAACUGUGCUCUCAAGUGACCACCAGAGGGCAGUGCGACCCCACCUCUGGCCCCAGCCACCCGCGGGUGCCCCCUGAAGUCAGGCCUGGAAACAACGCUGUAAGGAUUCCAGAAGCAUCUCCCUGAGGCUGUGCCCUUGCCUCAAGGACGGCCUCCCUGGAAUGGCAGCCCCAGCCAUGUACUCAGGCCCACGAGUUAAUUGACCUGCUGCGGCCACGAUGGGGAUGCCAGCAGAGAGCAGCACAGUGGCCUCAAGAGCAAUCGGCAGCCACCGGGCUGGAAGGCGCUUCUUCCCGCACUCAGGCCAACCUUAAGCUACCCGCUCUGAGGCUUAAUAACACCAUGGUAACAAUAGUUUAAAUUGUUUAAAAUCAAUGUUGGAAUUUCUUUUUAUAUCCAGAAGUUCAUUUGAGGAUGGUGGAUAAGCCAGCUGCAGCCAAAUACUGAUUUUAAAAUUCAACCAUUACGUAUUUAGCCAAAAAUGGGUAUUUGGUGACCUCUGGCUGCAGGUGAUGGGGUGUCUCUUGGCACUUGCUGCCCCCACCCCAUCCACUGCAUCAGAAACACAAAAGCCCUGCCCUCCUCUCGGCCCCUGGAUCCCACGGGCCACCCAGUAUGGUUGACGGGGGCGCUGCACACACAGGCCCAGCCUCUAACAUUUAUUAAGCACCAACUGUGUCCCAGGCACCAGGCUAAGCCCUUGACCUGCAUUAGGUGCUUCCAUCCUCACAGCCACACCUGGAGAAGAGCCACUGCGCGACGGUGAGACCUUGGGUCAGAUCGCAGCUCUUCCUUUUACUGUCUGUAGGAACUUCGCCUCCUAAACCUCAACUUCCUCAGCUGUCAAAUGGGGUAGUAAGAGAAUCCACCUCACAGAUUUGUUGCCGGCACUGAAUGCAUUCAGAUACGGACAGCACUUGUCUGAAAGCCACUUUUUUGGUCAUUCAAGAAAUGCAUGUUGGAGUUCCCGUCGUGGUACAGUGGUUAAUGAAUCCGACUAGGAAUCAUGAGGUUGUAGGUUCGAUCCCUGCCCUUGCUCAGUGGGUUCAGGAUCCGGUGUUGCCGUGAGCUGUGGUGUAGGUUGCAGACGCGGCUUGGAUUCCGCGUUGCUGUGGCUCUGGCGUAGGCCAGUGGCUACAGCUCCGAUUCGACCCCUUGCCUGGGAACCUCCAUAUGCCGGGGGAGCGGCCCAAGAAAUGG
rnacentral:lncRNA from 1 species